UACGUAGGUGGCAAGCGUUGUCCGGAAUUACUGGGUGUAAAGGGAGCGUAGACGGCCAGACAAGCCUGAAGUGAAAAUCCAGCGCUUAACGUUGGAAGUGCUUUGGAAACUGCCGGGCUAGAGUGCAGGAGGGGCAGGCGGAAUUCCUAGUGUAGCGGUGAAAUGCGUAGAUAUUAGGAGGAACACCAGUGGCGAAGGCGGCCUGCUGGACUGCAACUGACGUUGAGGCUCGAAGGCGUAGGGAGCAAACAGG
rnacentral:rRNA from 1 species